rnacentral:rRNA from 1 species
UACGAAGGGGCUAGCGUUGUUCGGAAUCACUGGGCGUAAAGCGCACGUAGGCGGAUCGUUAAGUCGGGGGUGAAAUCCCAGGGCUCAACCCUGGAACUGCCUUCGAUACUGGCGAUCUUCGAGUCCGGGAGAGGUGAGUGGAACUCCGAGUGUAGAGGUGAAAUUCGUAGAUAUUCGCAAGAACACCAGUGGCGAAGGCGGCUCACUGGCCCGGUACUGACGCUGAGGCACGAAAGCGUGGGGAGCAAACAGG